CCCUUAGAUGUUCUGGGCCGCACGCGCGCUACACUGAUGCAUUCAACGAGUUUUACCUUGGCCGAGAGGCCUGGGCAAUCUUUUGAACAUGCAUCGUGAUAGGGAUAGAUUAUUGCAAUUAUUAAUCUUGAACGAGGAAUUCCUAGUAAACGCAGAUCAUCAAUCUGCAUUGAUUACGUCCCUGCCCUUUGUACACACCGCCCGUCGCACCUACCGAUUGAAUGGUCCGGUGAAGCCUCGGGAUUGUGGCUGAUUCGCUUUAUUGGGAGUUGGUCGCGAGAACUUGUCUAAACCUUAUCAUUUAGAGGAAGGUGAAGUCGUANCA
rnacentral:rRNA from 1 species